GCGCGAAAACUUUACAAUGCUGGCAACAGCGAUAAGGGAACCUCGAGUGCCAGGUUACAAAUCUGGCUGUCGAGAUGCCUAAAAAGCAUUUCAUAGCAAGGGCCGGGCAAGACCGGUGCCAGCCGCCGCGGUAACACCGGCGGCUCGAGUGGUAACCGCUAUUAUUGGGUCUAAAGGGUCUGUAGCCGGCCGGAUAAGUCUCUUGAGAAAUCUGGCAGCUUAACUGUCAGGCUUUCAGGAGAUACUGUCUGGCUCGAGGCCGGGAGAGGGAGGGGGGACGUCAGGGGUAGGGGGGAAAUCUUGUAAUCCUUGAAGGGAGACCAGUGGCGAAGGCGGCUCGCCAGAACGGACCUGACGGCAAGGGACGAAAGCUAGGGG
rnacentral:rRNA from 1 species